rnacentral:tRNA from 1 species
AGUCCUGAGGUGAAAUUUCAUAUUGAAUUGC